UACGGGGGGGGCAAGCGUUGUUCGGAAUUACUGGGCGUAAAGGGCUUGUAGGUGGCCAACUAAGUCAGACGUGAAAUCCCUCGGCUUAACCGGGGAACUGCGUCCGAUACUGGCAGGCUUGAAUCCGGGAGAGGGAUGCGGAAUUCCAGGUGUAGCGGUGAAAUGCGUAGAUAUCUGGAGGAACACCGGUGGCGAAGGCGGCAUCCUGGACCGGCAUUGACGCUGAGGCGCGAAAGCCAGGGGAGCAAAGCGGG
rnacentral:rRNA from 1 species